CGCGAACAGAAAGCGGUUGAGAUGUUGACGGCAAUUGUUUAACCCCUUUGUCUUGCUAAUUAAAGUCAUCAAGUCAUCAAGUUAGUUGGAAUUGAUUGAUAAAAAUGACGGGAUAUUUAAUUUCGAGAAUAUAUUCUAUAUAUAUAUUCGAUAUCUGGAUGUAUUCACUUGCUCGAGUGAUUGUUCAUCAUCACUUUCUUCACUGAUACAUCGUUGAUGCAAAAAUGCUUUGAAAAGAAAAAUAAACUUUAGUGAGAGAUUCAUCGGAGUAAAAUUAAUAUAUUUAUGCUGAUUAUCAUGAGUCUUUUGUGCUGGUUCCGGAUGCUGGAA